ACGGCCGUACCAUGCUGAAUAUACCGGUUCUCGUUAGAUCACCGAAGUCAAGCAUCAUUGGCCAAGUACUUGGGUGGGUGACCACCUGGGAACACCGCGUGCCGUU
rnacentral:rRNA from 1 species